GUGGUGCAUGUUUGUGGGAAGUCCUUUUAUUGUGCCCCUUACGAUGACAGUCACUACAUGUAAUCUUUGAACGUUUACACUUGUCUUCAUUUGGUGCUUUCCAUCUUUCAUAACAUGGUCUUUCGGGAGGUCGUUUUGAAUCAGGUGGUAAUACAACUUCAUCCAACACUUCACGUGGUAUUUUCCAUGUCCUUUCACAAGGAAGAGGUUCAACUAAUAUGGCAUAAGCAUCCCUGAAAUUUUUGUUGCUGU
rnacentral:lncRNA from 1 species